rnacentral:tRNA from 1 species
GGAGAAGGGCUGUAGCUGAGGGGCAGAGCAUCUGCUCUGCAUGCAGAAGGUCGCAGGUUCAAUCCCCAGCAUCUCCA